rnacentral:misc_RNA from 1 species
GAUGAAGAACGUAGCGAAACGCGAUAGUUAAUGUGAAUUGCAGAAUUCAGUGAAUCAUCGAGUCUUUGAACGCACAUUGCGCCCGCCAGUAUUCUGGCGGGCAUGCCUGUUCGAGCGUCAUUUCAACCCUCAAGCACAGCUUGGUGUUGGGACUCGCGUUAAUUCGCGUUCCUCAAAUUGAUUGGCGGUCACGUCGAGCUUCCAUAGCGUAGUAGUAAAACCCUCGUUACUGGUAAUCGUCGCGGCCACGCCGUUAAACCCCAACUUCUGAAUGUUGACCUCGGAUCAGGUAGGAAUACCCGCUGAACUUAAGCAUAUCAAUAAGCGGAGGA